rnacentral:rRNA from 1 species
UACGUAGGGGGCUAGCGUUGUCCGGAAUCAUUGGGCGUAAAGAGCGUGUAGGCGGCCCGGUAAGUCCGCUGUGAAAGUCGGGGGCUCAACCCUCGAAUGCCGGUGGAUACUGUCGGGCUAGAGUGCGGAAGAGGCGAGUGGAAUUCUCGGUGUAGCGGUGAAAUGCGUAGAUAUCAGGAGGAACACCAAUGGCGAAGGCAGCUCGCUGGGACGGUACUGACGCUGGAGGCGCGAAAGCGUGGGGAGCAAACAGG